GAUGAAGAACGCAGCGAAAUGCGAUACGUAAUGUGAAUUGCAGAAUUCAGUGAAUCAUCGAAUCUUUGAACGCAUAUUGCGCCCUCUGGUAUUCCGGAGAGCAUGCUUGUUUGAGUAUCAGUAAACACCUCAACUCCCUUUUCUUUUUUGAAAUUGGAGCUGGACUUGAGUGAUCCCAACGCUUUCUUCCAAGAAAGUGGCGGGUUGCUUGAAAUGCAGGUGCAGCUGAACUUUUCUCUGAGCUAUAAGCAUAUCUAUUUAGUCUGCCUAAAAAACAGAUUAUUACCUUUGCUGCAGCUAACAUAAAGGAGACUAGUUCUUGUGCUGACUGAUGCAGGAUUCACAGAGACAGCUUCGGCUGACUUUGUAAACUCGAUCUCAAAUCAAGUAAGACUACCCGCUGAACUUAAGCAUAUCAAUAAGCGGAGGA
rnacentral:misc_RNA from 1 species